rnacentral:miRNA from 1 species
GGCCAGAUUCUGCCCUUAUUGACAUCAGUGAGAGCUGUGCUCAUGUAACAAGAGGCAGAAAUUUGGCUCUUUGA